CGGAGAGCGACGAUGAUGAACAGGCGUCCGAGAGGUCGCAUGUCCACAUCCAGGAGCAGCUUGCCGCAGGAGACGAUGGGAGCGAAGGGCAAUGGAAGAUGGAAGAAAACCAGCCCUUGCAAGACUCGUUCACUGCCCAGCCCGGUAUCAAGGUGCCAGUGCCAGAAAAUGCUGAGCCAUAUCAUUAUUUUUGCCUGUUUUUUACUUUACAAUUUUGGCAAUUGCUCUGCACUGAGACCAAUCGAUUUGCCCAGCAAUAUCUAAAUGCACACC